UUUUGAAAAACAACUAACCGCCAGUGCCGCUGUUCAACAAUCGCUUGCUUCUCGGAGCAGAAAUAGCGAGAGGAGAAAAAGUGGAAGUACGAGGAAUGCAAAAGGAAUGUUCAUUUUGGUUUGCAUUCUCUUCAGCUGGUAUCUCUGCUUCAUGUAAUCGUCGUCGACGACGUUGGAGUCCCGAUUUUAUGAGUUUGAGGAGUGUGGGAGGACCUCUGAUUCCGGAAACUGAAUUUCUUCACCAUGAACUGCACGAUAUGGCCACAAAUCUGUAUACAGUAAGCGCUCUCUCUAUUUCUUGAACUCUAUUUAUUAGGUUUAUUUUAUUUAGUGUUAUUUAUUUAUAAUUUUCUUGUAUUUGGAUGUGGAUUAUUCUUGUAAGUGAUUAUUCGCUAUGGAUAGCUGGAAUUUGCUGUGUCUUUUCAAUUAAUGACGUAAUAAUGGUGGUUUUAGUCAAUUAGUACUUCUGAGUGGUGAUUUGUAAAGGCUUGAACUCCAUUAAAGGCAAGAAGCACAAACAGAGGUGAGAUAAGUUAAUUAAUGGAUUUUUGGGUUAAGAACAAGAGAAAUAAAGAAAUUAUUAUUUAUCUGCUUAUUCAUGUGCUCUAGUUUUAUUUCAACUGUAUUAAGUUUGAUUGAGGUAACGAGUAACUAUUAUCUUCUUUUGGUUAACAAUCAUAUGAAUAUCCCUUUUCAAAUUCUGAAACAAUGAAUUAAUAGGAUAUGCACUUAACCAUGCAGAUAUAAUUUUGUUUUUUAACUCAAAUAAUAUGCCUCUUCCUUUUUUAAGGAAAAAAGUGAUAUCCCUCUCUGUAUGAAGCAUAGUAAAAGACCUUGAAGGCCAGCUAGCUACAAAAUUAUAAAAGGAUUGAUGUGGACAUUUUGAACCAGUAACUUUGAAUACAUUAGUACUUCAACUGAGCUUUUUCUCCAGAAAAAGAAAAAGAUGGAGCUCACCUCAGGAACUUGAUGGAGUUACUCAAGGUUGAAUGAAAGUCCAAUCGCUCUUACGAGUUCACUUAUUGAAUGGGGCCUAUUCUACUAUUUAAGGAUCUUCCCUAGAUAUGCUCAUCAGUACUUCACAUGAUUGGAUAGUUCUUCUUUCGUUACUCUUCGCAAGUUAUAAAUUGAUAUGAUAUAUAUAACUCAGCAAUCAAUACAGAAUAUUACUGCAGCAUUUAUAGGUCUCCAAAACCUUCUUAAGGCUCUACAAUUUUCAUUGUGUAUGUACACAUUGCAUACUGUGUGUGUGACUGCUGUUGGGAGUGGGGAUGGCAGGAGUAGAAGCUAAAAGAAGGAAAGAGAUGCUGUAGUUCUAUGAUGAAAAAAGGAAAAAUAUUUUUGAAGUCUUUAUUCAAGAUGAUAGGGUACAAGCCUGCAAGAGAUUGAUUCUUUAUACACAGGUUAAAACCAGCUAUCACAGUGGAUUUUCAUAAUAAACUUCUUAGAUAAAGGAACAGGUAAAA